GCAAUAAGAGAAGAAACAUACUGUUUUAUGCCAGAACAAACUGUGUCCUGAGACCAUUGCCUGCCCUCUUUAUCUAGAGACUUCUGGCACUGAUGUGGGAUGGAUAUUC
ensembl:snoRNA Gm56319 predicted gene, 23317